CCUACGGGUGGCAGCAGUGGGGAAUAUUGGACAAUGGGGGCAACCCUGAUCCAGCCAUACCGCGUGUGUGAAGAAGGCCCUCGGGUUGUAAAGCACUUUCAGUGAGGAAGAACGCCUGGUGGUUAAUACCCAUCAGGAAAGACAUCACUCACAGAAGAAGCACCGGCUAACUCCGUGCCAGCAGCCGCGGUAAUACGGAGGGUGCGAGCGUUAAUCGGAAUUACUGGGCGUAAAGCGCGCGUAGGUGGCUUGAUAAGCCGGUUGUGAAAGCCCCGGGCUCAACCUGGGAACGGCAUCCGGAACUGUCAAGCUAGAGUGCAGGAGAGGAAGGUAGAAGUCCCGGUGUAGCGGUGAAAUGCGUAGAGAUCGGGAGGAAGACCAGUGGCGAAGGCGGCCUUGUGGACUGACACUGACACUGAGGUGCGAAUGCGUGGGUAGCAGACAGGAUUAGAUACCCCAGUAGUC
rnacentral:rRNA from 1 species